CUGCGAAAGCCGGAUUAAUACCGCAUACGCUCUGCGGAGGAAAGCGGGGGAUCCUUCGGGACCUCGCGCUACAGGGGCGGCCGAUGGCAGAUUAGCUAGUUGGUGGGGUAAAGGCCUACCAAGGCGACGAUCUGUAGCUGGUCUGAGAGGACGACCAGCCACACUGGGACUGAGACACGGCCCAGACUCCUACGGGAGGCAGCAGUGGGGAAUUUUGGACAAUGGGCGCAAGCCUGAUCCAGCAAUGCCGCGUGUGUGAAGAAGGCCUUCGGGUUGUAAAGCACUUUUGUCCGGAAAGAAAACCUCGUGGUUAAUACCCGUGGGGGAUGACGGUACCGGAAGAAUAAGCACCGGCUAACUACGCGCCAGCAGCCGCGGUAAUACGUAGGGUGCAAGCGUUAAUCGGAAUUACUGGGCGUAAAGCGUGCGCAGGCGGUUCGCUAAGACAGAUGUGAAAUCCCCGGGCUUAACCUGGGAACUGCAUUUGUGACUGGCGAGCUAGAGUAUGGCA
rnacentral:rRNA from 1 species